rnacentral:rRNA from 1 species
UACUCCAUGUAGUGGAUCACUCGGCUCGUACGUCGAUGAAGAGUGCUGCAAAUUGUGAUAUUUAUUGCGAAUUGCUCACUGCUUCGAACAUCGACUUCUUGAACGCAAAUGGCAGCUGCGGCGUAAGCCGUGGCUACGUUUGAUCGAGCGCUG